ensembl:rRNA 5S_rRNA 5S ribosomal RNA
AACCACAGCCAUAUCACCCUGCAGCCCAAGACUGGUUGCCCACUGAAGCUAAGCAGGGUUGAGCCUGGUCAGUACCUGGAUGGGAGACCUCCUGGGAAAACUAGGUUGCUGUUGGAA